CGGGCGCGGCGAACGGUCUAAGUCCCUUGGAACGGGGCGUCAUAGAGGGUGAGAAUCCCGUAUGUGAUCGGCGACUAAGCCCAUGUGAAACUCCUUCGACGAGUCGAGUUGUUUGGGAAUGCAGCUCAAAAUGGGUGGUAAAUUUCAUCUAAAGCUAAAUACCGGCCAGAGACCGAUAGCGCACAAGUAGAGUGAUCGAAAGAUGAAAAGCACUUUGGAAAGAGAGUCAAAAAGUACGUGAAAUUGUUGAAAGGGAAGCGCUUGCAACCAGACCUGCCCGCGGGCGAUCAACCGUCCCUCCGGGGGCGGUGCACUCGCCCGCGAUCAGGCCAGCAUCGGUUCGGGCGGCCGGAUAAAGGCCUCGGGAAUGUGGCUCCUUUCGGGGAGUGUUAUAGCCCUUGGUGCAAUGCGGCCAGCCUGGACCGAGGACCGCGCUUCGGCUAGGAUGCUGGCGUAAUGGUUGUAAGCGGCCCGUCUUGAAACACGGACCAAGGAGUCUAACAUCUAUGCGAGUGUUUGGGUGUCAAACCCAUACGCGGAAUGAAAGUGAACGGAGGUGGGAACCCGUUCGGGCGCACCAUCGACCGAUCCAGAUGUCUUCGGAUGGAUUUGAGUACGAGCAUAGCUGUUGGGACCCGAAAGAUGGUGAACUAUGCCAGAAUAGGGUGAAGCCAGAGGAAACUCUGGUGGAGGCUCGCAGCGGUUCUGACGUGCAAAUCGAUCGUCAAAUUUUGGCAUAGGGGCGAAAGACUAAUCGAACCAUU
rnacentral:rRNA from 1 species